rnacentral:rRNA from 1 species
GGUGAACGCUGGCGGUAGGCCUAACACAUGCAAGUCGAACGGCAGCACAGUAAGAGCUUGCUCUUACGGGUGGCGAGUGGCGGACGGGUGAGGAAUACAUCGGAAUCUACUUUUUCGUGGGGGAUAACGUAGGGAAACUUACGCUAAUACCGCAUACGACCUACGGGUGAAAGCAGGGGAUCUUCGGACCUUGCGCGAUUGAAUGAGCCGAUGUCGGAUUAGCUAGUUGGCGGGGUAAAGGCCCACCAAGGCGACGAUCCGUAGCUGGUCUGAGAGGAUGAUCAGCCACACUGGAACUGAGACACGGUCCAGACUCCUACGGGUGGCAGCAGUGGGGAAUAUUGGACAAUGGGCGCAAGCCUGAUCCAGCCAUACCGCGUGGGUGAAGAAGGCCUUCGGGUUGUAAAGCCCUUUUGUUGGGAAAGAAAAGCAGCAGGUUAAUACCCCGCUGUUCUGACGGUACCCAAAGAAUAAGCACCGGCUAACUUCGUG